GACGAACGCUGGCGGCGUGCCUAAUACAUGCAAGUCGAGCGAAUGGAUGGGAGCUUGCUCCCUGAAGUUAGCGGCGGACGGGUGAGUAACACGUGGGCAACCUGCCUGUAAGACUGGGAUAACUUCGGGAAACCGGAGCUAAUACCGGAUACAUUCUUUCUUCGCCUGAAGAAAGAUGGAAAGAUGGUUUCGGCUAUCACUUACAGAUGGGCCCGCGGCGCAUUAGCUAGUUGGUGAGGUAACGGCUCACCAAGGCAAAGAUGCGUAGCCGACCUGAGAGGGUGAUCCGCCAAACCGGGACUGAGACACGGCCCAGACUCCUACGGGAGGCAGCAGUAGGGAAUCUUCCGCAAUGGACGAAAGUCUGACGGAGCAACGCCGCGUGAGCGAAGAAGGCCUUCGGGUCGUAAAGCUCUGUUGUUAGGGAAGAACAAGUACCAGAGUAACUGCUGGUACCUUGACGGUACCUAACCAGAAAGCCACGGCUAACUACGUGCCAGCAGCCGCCGUAAAAC
rnacentral:rRNA from 1 species